rnacentral:rRNA from 1 species
GAUGAACGCUAGCGGCAGGCCUAAUACAUGCAAGUCGAACGGUAACAGGGAUAUCAAUAUCCGCUGACGAGUGGCGCACGGGUGCGUAACACGUAUGCAACCUACCUAUAACCGGGAAAUAGCUCGGAGAAAUUCGAAUUAAUGUCCCAUAAUAUCAUGAGAUGGCAUCGUUUUAUGAUUAAAGAUUUAUCGGUUAUAGAUGGGCAUGCGUUUGAUUAGCUAGUUGGUGAGGUAAUGGCUCACCAAGGCUACGAUCAAUAGGGGUUCUGAGAGGAUGAUCCCCCACACGGGUACUGAGAUACGGACCAGACUCCUACGGGAGGCAGCAGUAGGGAAUAUUAGGCAAUGGAGGCAACUCUGACCCAGCCAUGCCGCGUGAAGGAAGAAGGCCUUCUGGGUUGUAAACUUCUUUUAUAUGGGAAGAAAGGACUCUUGCGAGAGGCGUUGACGGUACCAUAUGAAUAAGCACCGGCUAACUCCGUGCCAGCAGCCGCCGCGGUAA